GUAGCCCUCCCCUCUCCCACUCCCUCUCCCAUCCCGCCCUUCAUCGAGUUUCAUUUUCAAUUACCUUCAUAUACUGAAGAUCAACUUAGUAUACACUAAGCAAGGAUUUCAACAGGCUGCACUCACACAACCGCACAAGGUAUAGGGCAUUGUUCGACUAGUAGUGUUGUUUUUAAGUUUCAUAGUAGAACACAUUAAGGACAGAGAUCCUACGUGGGGAGCCUGUACUCAGUGACUCCCAUUGCUGAUUUAACAAUUGGCACUCUUAUUUAUGAUGUCAGCAAUCACCCGAGACUCUUGCUAUGAGCUGUCUAGGCUAUGGAAGCCCCUUGAGUUCACCGACUCUGAACUUGUUUAGUCAAGGCCAUAUCACAGUGGAGGUUCCUUCCUCCCUUCAGAGAAAGGCGCCUCUCUCCUUGAUGGCCUGUUCCUUCUGCUGGGGUCUUGUUCACCAGGAUCUUUCAUUUAGAUCAUUUUUUGCCACCGUGUCAUGGCUUUCCACGCCUUGAGACUCUCAUGGACUUUUUAGCCAGAUCCGAAUGUCCCAAGGGUUGAUUCUGAGGCAGGAGUGCUGUUUAGGGCAUUUGCCAUUCUAUGAGUCUGCUGUGUGUCCCGCUUCCCCCGCAGGAUCAUUCUCUCCCUUUUAAUUCUAUCCUUCAUUAUUUGCAGACACUGGUCUUAUUUGUGAAAUCUCAUCGACACAUACCCUAUCUUUUUGAUCGGUUGUGUAUUUAUACUUAUCACUUUACCAAGUGCGCUGGCAUUGGUACCUGCCUCCUUGGUAAGACUGAGCUGAAAUCCCCUGGCACAUUUCUAGUUCCACCAUUGGAGGUGAGUCCGAGUGAGCAUGUGCCAACCUACAUAUCUCCUCCUUGAGCAGAAGGGUGAUCUCCUGCUCACUGGUUUAGUCCCCAAAUGGCCACAGGAGCCAGGUCUGAGCCAGGCUGAAUCCAGGAGCCCGGAAGUCUGUCCCAGUCUCUCACGUGGGUGACAGGGCCCAGGUACUUGGGCCAAGUUCCACUACCUUCCUGGGUGCGUUAGCAGGGAGCUGGAUCAGAAGCAGAGUAGUGGGGCCGGCACUGUGGCAUAGUAGGCUCAGCCCCUGCCUGCAAAGCCAGCAUCCCAUAUGGGCGCUGAUUCGGGUCCCAGCUGUACUUCUUCCAGUCCAGCUCUCUGCUAAUGGCCUGGGAAAGCAGUGGGAGACGGCCCAAGUGCUUGGGCCCCUGCACCCACAUAGGAAAUCUAGAAGAAGCUCCCGGCUCCUGGCUUCGGUGGAGCCCAGCCCUGGCUGAUGCGGUCAUUUGGGGAGUGAAUCAGCGGAUGGAAAGCCUUUCUCCCUGUCUGUCCCUCUCUCCGUCUCUAAUUCUGCCUCCCAAUCAAGUAAAUAAAAUCUUAAAAAAAAAAAAAAAGGCAGCAGAGUAGUAGGGACUGAAACCAGCACUCCGAUACGAGACGCCGGCAUUGUGAGUGGUGGCUCAACCCACUGUGCCACGCCGGCCCUGGCCCGUGCUCUGCUCAGGAGCCAGCUGGUAGCUCCUUGCCGGUUGGUGCCUUGGUUCAGAAGCCAGCAGGGGACAUGCCCUGUGAUGACACGGGAGUGGGGCUGGUGCUCCCUGUCCCCGGCCCCACCCAGGACAUUAUCAGCACAUACGCACCGCUCCGACCCGGGCAGCUGGAGGGACUGCCCGAGGACAGCCCGCAGAGGGCUGGGUGUGGAGGCCACAGCGGGGCUGUGACGGAGUUCUUUCCCAAAGCGCCCGAGCCUGCUGGCGGGGCCCCGGCGCACCCACGUCAGAGGCUGUCCCUUCUGAGUGCGCCUGUGCCUUUGAACAGGGCGGGGGAGCAGGCAGCCGGCGGGCAGGUGUGGACGUGCGUCAUGGAGUGGGAGCGGGAAGGGGCCGCAGGCCUCAGCUGAUGAUCCUGUCAGACCUCAUGCCCGGGGCCACAGACCCACAUCAAAGGCCACUGCCCAGGUGCUUUUGAGCCGGGCCAGGAGGAGCCGCAGCGGGAGGCAGGUGCAGAUGGACGUGUGCGGGAGGGCAGAGCUCAAGGGCGGCGCUGGCAGGGCCAGGGUCUUGAGCUGGUGAUGGCGGAGGCCUUGAGCAGAGAGGGGCGGCUGUGCGUCUGGACCAGGGCAGGGGAGCUGGGGAGAAGGUGCUGGGUUACACCGCUCCCUUGCGCGCGGCCUCUCGUGGAGGCCCCUCAGUCCCGUUGUGCCGGAUUCAGGGGGCCGGGGGCGGGGGCCGCUCCUCAAGGGCUCUGAGGACCUGUGCACCGUGGGGCAGUGGGAGCCUGGCCAGGCCCCGGCUCUGCUCGCCCCGCUGCCCUGCGCUCUACCCACCAUGCUGACCUCAUCUGGGCCCCUGCUCCCCCAGUUCAGGGUCCUCCUGGCCUCCUUGCUGCUGCCCCAGCGAAGCCCUCGACCGUCCCUCGGCUUCUCCCAGCUCCUGGGGCCCAGGCGUUGGCAGGCUGAUCCGCAGGGGCGAUGCCUUCCCCGCUCUGUGGAUUGUCACGUUGUCCAGCCUUUCUCCAUUUACAGCAUGCAGUAGGUGCCUAAUAAAUGUGUUUGAAAGAGUGGUGGUGUCUUCGUCCUUGAUGUCUUCUCAUCAGGGCCCAGCUCUGUUUGGCGCCUCCUAGAAAGCCGGUGCUCAGGCCGUCCACCCUCCUGGCUCAGCCUAGCGACCUCCCUGGGUAGCCUGGAGCCCCACCCACUCCAGAUGAGCUCUGACUUCAGAGCGCCUGUCUCCCCACUGAGCUAAACCCCAACGGGGCAGAGGCGACACACAUGCUUAAGGAUCUCACAUGCUGAUCCAGGAGGCAUUCUGGUAUUGGAUGGAUGGGUAGAUGGAUGAAGGGGUGGAUGGAUGAUGGAUGAUGGAUGGAUGAUGGAUGAUGGAUGGGUGGGUGGAUGGAUGGAUGAUGGAUGGAUAGAUAGAUACAACAAAAAUGAUCCAAGGUGUGAAGAAAGAUGAGAGGUGUCCCAAAAGCAGGAGUGGCCUCCAGAUGACCUGUGUGUGUGAGGGCCAAGUGGGAGGCCCUGGGCCGGCCAGGAGGAGGUGGGCUGAGGGCCUCCCUGUGGCCAUGCUGACUGCAGAAGCAAGGACAAGGCCCUGACCAUUAGAGCAAAUGCAUUCUCGGAAAUAGCAAGAGGAGGGCUUUCACCCCCAGCAAGGGCCCCCCCAGAGCAGACGGGGUCCCCUGAAAUCCGUUUAUGUUCUGUGGCAGUGGCCUCUCCGUGGGCUGAGGAAGGAGGCCAGGACGCCGUCACCAGCCCCGUCUUACCGUGAACCAGACAUCGGCCAGUCCGUGCUGAGGGGCCUUGCACUAAGUGCCCGUCCAGGACUCCUGAAAGCGAGAACAAGGAGAAUGGAGGAACCACCCCGCCAAGAGGAGCCGGGGACACGUGGCGGCUGGGUGCCGUGUGGGGUGCCGUGUGGGUCCUGCACCAGGGCCAGGGCCUUAGGAGAAACCGUGAGGUCUGGGGCACACGUGGAGUCCAGCAGGCUGGUAUUCAUUCGUUAGCUGUGACCAUCUGCAGUGCAACGGGGGAGAGGCACAUGGAAGCCAGGCUUACGUUUUACGGUCAGAAAACGUACGUGUGUCGGUACGGCACAUGUGCUCCCGCCCUGGUGCACCAGCAUUGGGGCAGGAAGACUAAACAGAUGAGGGCACCCACCUUCCCGGUGGAGACACUGUGGCAGGUCUGCAUGUGGCCUGUGGAGCAGGACAGGAGCCGGGGUCGCUUGUGGGCCAUGGCAAGGCACAGACGGAGGCCCCUCUGUGCACAUGGUGGGGACCCUCGGGCACAGGGGUCGGGGAACGCAGCCACGUGUGCACGUACACCCAGUUCUGUAUUCCCGUGCACGGAUGCGUGGUGGGGUCUGUGGGCACAGGCAGGACUUGCCUGCAGUGAGCGCACGUCUAGUGCGUACACGUGUGUGGCGUCUCAGCUCACAUUUGCGUGCGUGCACACGUGUGCUCCCUGCACACGCAAUGGGCUCCCUGUGACUACACCUGUGACGAGUGCAGAGGUCCCCUUGCAAGGUGAGACAAGAGUCUCUUAUGUGGGGGAAGACACGGGUUGAGAGGGGACAGCAGGGCUGGCUGGGCCCGCAGGGGCACAAAGAGCCGUGUCCAGGACGCACCCGAGGCUGUGGCUGGAACCAGGAUGCAUAGAGGGCAAGUACAAGAGGAGGAGUGUGAUGGGGGUGGCCUGGGGGCUGCUGCGUGCCCCUUUCUGGCGCACUGGGGGCGCCGUAGGGGAGGUCCAGGCCUCCUAACGGAAAACCGUGAGUUCAGCUGUGGCCAUUCCAGCAGCCAGAGGCCUGUGUGGGCCCAGCCGUGCUGGCUGCUGGCAGCAGCUCACGAGUUGGAGAACACCCAGAGCACGCUUGGCAGAAGGAGGUCGGGGGAGGCCCUGUCCCCCCCACACUUCCCAGAAGUUCACUCUCUCCAGGGGCAAGGUGUUCCAUAACCCGGGCUGGAUCGGGGCUGAGGCCCGUGUGCCAGGCGCGCUCUGGCAGCCACCUGUGAAGCUGGCCCGGCUGUUCCUUCACACCUAGGUGGGAUGUCUGGGUCUGUGGCCGCUGGGGCCGGGAGCGUCCAGGCCCUGCCACCACGGGCCAGAGUGGCUGCGGAAGUGGGGAGGAGGUGGUGCGAGUGAGGGCAGGGGUCCACAAAGGUCAGGCCGGGGAGGAGGGCGAGACACAGGGGUCCCCAGGGCCAUCGGCAGCUCCCGGUGACGGCAGCAGUCCCUUCCUGCUGGCCCCCCCUGCUCGCCAGGACCCACGGGAGGGUAAGGUGGACGUGGGCCUGUCCUGGUGGAUCAUGGACUUCGGGCCUCAGAUGGUCCCUAACCUGUGGAACUUCGGGGGCUUGGCAGGGAGGCACAGGGAAGGCUUUCUGGAGGAGGGGAAAUGAACAGCAGGUCACAGGUGUCGAGGCAGCAGGGCGGUGAGUCCAUGGUGGGAGCCCGGCCCGACCCUGUGCCAGGCCCCUUGCUGGCUGGGGCCCCUCCAAGAGGAGGGCAAAAUGCGUUGUGUGGCCACCCGCCCCGCUGCCCAAACCCUAGAAACCAGGUGAUGCUGCGGGCUGGUCUCCCUGGGUUGACCAGUUAGUCGUCCUCUGCCACAGCCACCAGGCGCCCGUUCUGCACGGGUGACUCCCGAGAAUUAAUGUUCAUUUGAUUUUUCCUGUAAAUUGUAGCUCACAUGAUUUCUCCAUCACAGGCGAGGAAGGCUUGGGAGAGGCCGGAGGGGCUCCCAGGUGGGGAGUGCUGAGCCAUCACUUCUCCUCCGCGCAGCCGCCAUCGGCAGGUGUCUUGAUGGACAAGGCCCCCCGCGCCACUUCUGGGAGAGUGGGGGGCAGGCAGAGCUUGCGUUCGGGUCCCCCUUGAACAGGUACGGAAACGGAGGCGCAGCAAGUCCAGGAAGUUCCCAAAGCUCACACCCUGCACGUACCGCAGUGACCCUGCCCCUGACGGUGACCCUGAAAACCAAAGGAAGCCAAACUUCCAGGCUUCGUCUGUCCGUCCAGACCUCCAGGUCACACAGCACUGUGGCCCAGUGCUUCCCUCUGAGCGGUUGUCACGUGGGGCAAUUUUGGUGACCCCCCCAAGGGAGAGUUCCGGUUGUCACACCUGGGGGCUGGGUCCCCCCUAGCUGGAGUGGCUGAGCCGGGCUCAGUAAAGCAGCGAGGGUACAUACACAGGCACCGAAAUAUCUGCACUUGUUUAUUGGGGUGAAACGGAUUCGGGAAAUUUUUUAUUUUUCUUUCUUAUGUUUUUCUGUGCUGUUUGAAUUUUUUAAAGAAAAAAUGUGCAUGCAUCAUUUUUAUAAUCAGAGAGAGAAGAGCUGUUUUCAUUGUGUAAAAAUAAAAAAGGCCUGAGGACUUA